UUUAACCGUUUCAAGUAUUGAUUCUCUCUCACGUCUCUGAAUCUACGCUCCCCUAACUUCUCUCUUUGCCGGUUACCUAUUUUUCGCCAGUUUACAGCGGUUGUCUCUCCCCUAACUUCUCCCACCACGUUCGUCUACCACUGUGUAUAAAACUAUCAUCAGUCAUCCUCUCCAAUCCAUUAUACACCAUCCUCUCGAAUUCUCUGCUCCUCUCUCACCAAGAAAACCCAAAUCGACAAUCGAAUUUUCUCUGGCCGUCUCUCCCCCAACCAAAUCCAAAUCAACAAUCAAUUGUUGAUUUGCAUCCCUAACCCAAAAGGCAUAGGAGCAUCUAAUUGUUUACACCCAAAUUGGAAAAAUUAGGGUUCGCUUUGUUAAAUGUGAAGUGAGUCGCCAGCCACUCGUGUCCACCGUAACCUUCGUAAUUGGAGAGCUUUUAUUAUGUUCAAUCAGCAUCACAAUAUGUAUGUUCUGAUGCUCUCAAAUCAGAUUGUUGAACCCGUUGUUUACAAGUUUGCUCAGUUCGUCACCAUCUUCUCUGGCAGCCAUCAUCCGCCUCCUCCUGCCAAUUGUUGUGCUUCCUUGAUCAGCCAUGGAUACCCAAGGAAGGGACAUCACCUAUAAAGGGAAAGACCAUCGUCAACUCAAACAUCCCUAUUUGAAGUGGGUUUCUCUGCUUUAUAGUUUGACGAAUGAGUCAUAAACAUCAUUGCUUCACUGGAGGCAGAACUCAAGUUGGUUAGAAUGGAGGUUAAUCCUUCAGAGUCUUUAAACCGGAUCAUCGAUAAAGAGUAUAAGAGUAUGGCAUAACGGAUGUGCAGAAAAAACGAAUUAUUGAUGCCCUUCGGAGUGAUGCGAGAGCGGUUAAAGCGGAGGAUCAUGAAGAGUGGGUUGACGGGGAGUGGGAGUUCUUUUACGAUAAAUGCAUGGAGCUAAGACUUUUGUGACGAGGAUGUUUACGAAGAUGAUAGUGGCUCAGUCCAGUUUUUAUCGCAACUCGCAAAGACGGGUUUUUUAAGAUUAUGUUGGCUGGUUGUGCUCUUGGCGUCCUGGCUUGGUGUCCGGAUUCGAGUGUCCGGGUUGGGUAUUUUGGUGUCCGGGUCUGCCCCUACCGAUCGUUCCAUUUGUCUGGGUCUGCUCCGAGUGUGCUGUUUGGCUCCGGCGUCAAGUCAUGAACUGGGUCUGUUCAGCGUACAUGCUUCGGGUUUAUCUCACUAGAUUUAUGCUUGGAAAAAGAACAAUUCUUUGGAUGGUUAUUUUUGUUGUUUUGAUUGGGUUUGUUUCGACUGCCCGGGUAUGUUGUAUGGAGCCGAGUGUUUGGUUUGGUAUGAUUUUGGUCUGAAUCCCGGGAAUGGGUCAGAGCUAUGGAGCACGGGGACACCAGUUUGCAUCGAGUACCUGUCCCGGGGACGACUCGGGGACGGAAACGCCUAGGGAACGGCUUGGGGACGUUUCCCAAAAGUACCCGGAUAUUGGGGACUUCUACAAAACCGUACCCGAUAUUGGGUACUUCCAAAAUAAAGUAUCGGAGACGUUUCCUAAAAUAUUUAGGGUUUUAACCCUUUGAUUUGAUUUUAUUUGACUUUGAUAAUUUUGAUAAUCAUUCCGUAUGCAAGAGAAUAUUUGGAUGCUUUUAUAACCAUUCUGUAUGCUCCUGUUUCUCAAUAUUUGAAUGCGAGAGAAUAUUUGGAUGUUUUGAUAACCAUUCUGUAUCCUCCUCUAUAAUAACCAUUGAUUGUUUAUUGUUUAUUUGAGAAAUUGAGGAACAUAGAAUAGAAUAAGGAACAGAGAAUAGAAUCAAUAAAUUGAAUGUUCCUAUUUCUCAAUUUCUUGAAAACCCAACAAAACGGCAAAACAAAAAAAAAAUACUAUUUAUUAAGUCAACAGAGAAUAGAAUAAUCAAUUAACGAUAAUUAAUUACCUAUUGUUUAUGUAUUGGUUUUUUGUUUUGGCGGCUCUCUGUUUGAGGGUGCGCUUGUGAAUAAUAGU
rnacentral:lncRNA from 1 species